UCGCCGGAUAUGCGCUGUGUGUGUAUGCACAGCAGUGUUUUUUUCCUGCGUGGGAUCCCGAUUGCUCUUUCUCCACACAGAAUUAGUGUUGCGGAUAUUUAUUUGGAAAUAUUUUGCGGAAUAUAUCGUCUUCAAUCAAUCUUUAAUCAGGAUUGUUUGCAGGCUAUUGAAAGGCAAAAUGCCGAAUAAUCGAGCGACUGAGAGCCAGCCGUCGGGAACAACACCUUCAAAUCCAGCUGCUCCAAGCUCAUCGACUACGACGAGCAGUCGACCAUCUUCGGCUGGCAGUGGUGGUCGACGAGGUGGGCCUUCACAGGAAAGAGGAAAACCGAAUCAUUCUAUGGGCAAACCAGGUUCCAAGGCCCCACUUAGCUCAAGCGCCAAAAGGAUCCAGAAGGAACUCGCAGAGAUAACCCUCGAUCCACCACCAAAUUGCAGGUAAGUGUUAAUUUUUCUGGGUUUUUUACAUAUCUUUAUGACGAUAUGUGGCGUGCCAAUAAAUCCUCCGGAGCCGACUGGCUUCUGCAGAAGCGAAAUAGCAGUAUUUACUAUUUUUGUCUCUAAAAGCAUUGUUUUGGAUCAAUUACUUUUGCAAAUUUCAAAUUAGUAAUGGACAACAGAAGCCCUCGUUUUAUCUGCAUGCCGACACUGUGCGACACAACAUAAAAAUAAUCAUGAUAAAAAAGACAUGCAAUUUUAUAAUUACUUUAAAAAAUGACUAAUUUCACAAUUUUUCUGACAAUUUGCGCUAUUUUAGAGCUCACUCUUUGUGAAAGAUGUUUAAAUAUGGCCAUAUUUUGUAUAAUAAUUCAUGUGUGUUCUUACUGGAAUCUCAGAUAAUGUAUCUUUUAGUAUUACCGUACUCAAAUUAUGGUUAUUUCUGUUCGCUGAUACAUGUACCUGUUAAGCCUACAAAAUGUACUAAAUUUAAUGCAUCAUGAAGAACUGACCAAACCAAAUUAGAAUCUAAUUUUAUCUUGUUACUCCGAGAAACUGUCGUCAAAUAAUGUUUCUAUUGUUGAAUCACCUGUUUAAAACACACUAUCUUGUCCUUGUCUCGUCACAUGGGGUUAAAGCAGGCUGGUACUAUUAAAACAGGUAUAUUCCUAAUUUCCUAUCCUGCCUAAGACAUAGGUCUGCGUUAAUAGCGGUACUCAAUAUCGCAAAUUGCAUUGUUCGUAUACCGCGCACAAACUUUUCUACUUUGUUUGAUGUUUGUUGUUUUUAUUGCUGAUAUUAUUCUGAAAGUUCCUGAUUUUUUGAGAAAUUUAUUGGAGUAUGAAAAAUAAGUAUGAAGAAUAUGUCAUUUCUUAUCAAAUGUUAACAGCCAAUCAUAAAAUAGCAAUUUGAUGAUGUCAUCAGUCUUUGAAAAUACUUUUUUUUAAUUCAACAGUGAGAUUACCAUUAGAACCAAAUUUAACCUUUAAAGUGAUCAUUUCACUUUGUUCUGAUUUAAAAAAUUUCAUUUGGUUCUUGAAAAUGGGCUAAAUAUUUAUAGGCUUUUAGUUUAGUGUAGAAACACCAUUCCAAAAGUUUCAAAGUAUAAUAUCUACAGGAACAAUGUUAAAACCUUGGAGAUGUAAACCAAAGUUUAAAAAUAAUUGGGGGUUGGUUUCAAUGACUAUGUACAUGUAUGUAUACAGCAAAUCUGUGCACCACAACUCAAGAUGAACACAGCAUGACCAACAUGUGUACAGUGCAGCUAAUAAUAGCCUGUGUAUAAGAGACACACACAGCAGAAGGCAGUCAACAUAGCCAAUAGAAUUUUUGAUUGGAGAAAACUGGUCAUAAGCUGACCCUGUCUACUAGACGGUUCUCAAAAUAAAUUGCUACUUGUACCUAAAUUAGAGUUUUUCAUCCUAUAGGUUUUUAAGGACAUAUACAGGCACUCAUAAAAAUACACAUGUUUCAUCUCAGUUUGAGAAUUGUUUAAAUCAGCUGCUUACAAAGUGAAACGAUCCCUUUAAUACAAAAGUUUGAGUAAUGGGUUUUGGCAUACUUUCGAUCCAUUCUUGUCCACUCUGUGGCGACGUCGUCAACUUCAAUCUUAACCAAGGUUAAUUUUUUUUUGGUCUCACCUGUAUACAUGUAGCAGAACCAGAUUACAUGUACAGGUGCCGUUUUUCCAACUGCGGUGGCAUUGAAGACAUUGAGCACUAAGAGCGCUAUUACCAUUGCUAUAAGAGACUUUGUCGUAAUCUGCAUAAUAUAAAAACUGUAAAUGGACCUAGUUCAUGAAAAUUUCGACAUUCAGUAUAAAGGGUAAUAAAGUAUCACUUAACACCCUGCCUGAGAAACCCGGUCAGCUAAGGACAGUGCUGUUCAAUCAGAGAUAAGCACUCAUGAAUGGCUACAGCUGGGGGGGGGGGGGGGGUUAGGCAGAAAAUUUUGCGCAUGUGUGUGUGUGUGUCACUGUGUGAAAAGGGGGAAAAAAUAGUAUGGGGUUAGAAAAUCUUGCGUAAAAAGUGUAUUUUUUCAGAGUCAGCACUGCUGCUAAAUUGAAUUGCAUAAUGCAGGCAACUAGGCAAGACUGCCAGAGGCAUUCCACAUGUAGCCAGUAGUAGGGUCCAUGUUCAAGCCAUUGGCUAGAGUGCUAUCUCCAGGCUGUAUAAUUUGAACAGAUACAGUAAUACCGUAUUUACACGCUACACCAACUUGCGGGGCAGACCUGCCUCGUGGAGAAGUUUUGUCCCGUGGAUUAUUCAGCUUGCAGAUCAGACUUGGCUAGCCGUGGGAGACAAACAGACAGAUCAGUGGAUACAUUUUCGCAGACACCCACAGUGGUCUGUCAGAAUAUGCAUGCCCACGAAAUGAAGAACUGAAAGUAAAGCUGGUAGCUUGUUAUCUGUUUCAUCUAUUUUUGCUCGACACAUUUUGGGAAUAUUACUAAAAAAGUAUGUCUAUCAUCAUGCAUGCAGCUCACAUGAACGGACGAGAUUUACGUCAUGAAACGUACUCUUAAUCUUGAAGUUGCUCAUCCUGGGCAGACUCGACUUUGUGUUAACACAGUGAAAAAUUGCCAUUUCUGCUCCGGCUUGCGGGUGUGAUCCUAGUAUUUUGGCGGAGCAAAAAAAGCAAGUCAGCUACAGCUCGUGAAGCAAGGUAAUCGCAUUUACAUGCAGAUAAAAAAAGGCGAGUCAGACUCACCUGGCGGGUUAGACCCAAGAGCCGGGGUAGGUGUAACGUUAACACGGUAUAAAUUUAGACGGUGAAAAGGGUAUCAAAAUGAAUAUAAAUAUCAAGAAGUGUAUGUACAUGUAGGUCUUUAUUUCAACAGCCUUGAUAUGAGUAGGCCUUUAGGUCUACAUGUAAUACAUACAUGUGUAUACCAUAUCAUGAAAAUGGAAUGGUUGAGGCAUUAUUACAUGACAGAUACAUGUACCUGAAAUUGGGUACGCUGACAUUGAAAGAUAGAGGCAGACCCUACUUGUAGUUUACUUGUUGAGGGUCUACAAUGUAUUUUGAAAGUCCAACACCCUGAUUGUAGACAUAUAUCACAACUCAUGUUGAUUGAUGUGCAUAUUCAUGAACAUGUAAUGGAUUCAAGGCAACUCUCCUGCUUGAAUUACAUUGACAAUUCAAAAUUUGUCUGUACAUGCAUGGGAGUACUUGUACUGUAUGCCUACAAGACUAAACAUU